CAGCAGCCACGGUAAUACAGAGGGUGCAAGCGUUAAUCGGAAUUACUGGGCGUAAAGCGCGCGUAGGUGGUUUGUUAAGUUGGAUGUGAAAUCCCCGGGCUCAACCUGGGAACUGCAUCCAAAACUGGCAAGCUAGAGUAUGGUAGAGGGUGGUGGAAUUUCCUGUGUAGCGGUGAAAUGCGUAGAUAUAGGAAGGAACACCAGUGGCGAAGGCGACCACCUGGACUGAUACUGACACUGAGGUGCGAAAGCGUGGGGAGCAAACAGGAUUAGAUACCCCUGUAGUCCCUGUCUCUUAUAA
rnacentral:rRNA from 1 species